CGAAUCAGAUGUUCGUGGCUACCUUUAUGAGCCGCAAUAUAGCGAGCAGCGGCUGAGGCUGAACAGGAGGCGGCUGAGGCUUCUGCAGCCGAGGCAGAGGACCUGCCUGUCGCGGACGAGGAGCCCGGACUGGCUCGAGCUGGGGCGGACUGCUGGUGCCUGUGCUCUCGCUGUGCGCCUACGGACACACGGACGUCUGACUGUAAAACAAUAUCGCCUAACAGCCUUUCUGGAAUGGGUCCUGCAAGGCGAGAGAUUGGGUCGAGGCCAUCGUGUCGUUUUACCCGCUGAUGUGGUGCAGGCUAUCCGACAGAAACAUCCAGCUCCAGAUGGCCAGUACUGCGGCCCCGAGACGUUGAGGACGCUCAGGAGGAACUAUAACUGUCAAUGUUAACAUAUUUAUUUUUGUUGUUGUUGAUAUAUUUCUGUAAAUAAAUGGUUUACAUUCA